rnacentral:lncRNA from 1 species
GAUCUUAAGAAGCCAAAAGGCAAAGUGUCUUCAUAUGCAUUGCUGUACAAAUCUGUCAGGAGGAGCACAAGAAUCAGUUCCAGAUGCUUCCGUCAGAUCCUUGGGGUUCUCUCUAAAAAAUGCUCAGAAAGAUGGAAGACCAUGUCUGCUAAAGAAAAGGGGAAAAUUGAAGACAUGGAAAUGUUAUUGUGCAAACCUACACCCUUCCCCACACAGGAAACCAAACAAACAAACAAAUAAAAUCCCAGUGCACCCAUGAGCCCUCCUUCAGCCUUCUUGUUCUGUUCUGAAUACCAUCCAACGAUCAAAGGCGAGCAUCCUGGCUUAUCCAUUGGUGAUGUUGCAAAGAAACUAGGAGAGAUGUGGAACAACACUGCAGCAGAAGACAAGCAGCCCUAUGAGAAGAAGGCUGCCAAGCUGAAGUAGAAGUAAGAAAAGGAUAUUCCUGCCUAGAGAGCUAAGGGAAAACAUGAUGCAGUGAAAAAGGGGGUGGUCAAGGCUGAAAAGAGCAAGAAAAAGAAGGAAGAGGAAGAUGAUAAGAAUUAAAAGGAUGAGAAACAGGGGGAAGAGGAGGACAAGAAUGAAGAUGAUUAA